rnacentral:tRNA from 1 species
UGUGCAAUUCAAUUCGAUUUGAU